rnacentral:miRNA from 1 species
CAUUUAUAUUUCAAUUACGU